CACAUGGAUACAGGGAGGGGAGCAUCACACACCAAGAGCAUUAGGACAAAAAUACCGAAUGCAUGUGGGGCUUUAAACUAGAUGAUGGGUUGAUAGGUGCAGCAAACCACCAUGGCACAUGUGUACCUACGUAACAAACCUGCACACU